GACGAACGCUGGCGGCGUGCUUAACACAUGCAAGUCGAACGGGUCUGCCCUGUUUUUUGCGGGGUGGGUCAGUGGCGAACGGGUGAGUAACACGUGAGUAACCUGCCCCUCACUUCUGGAUAACCGCUUGAAAGGGUGGCUAAUACGGGGUGUUCUGGCUGUGCCGCAUGGUGUGGCUGGGAAAGAUUCACUUUUGUGGUGUUUUGGUGGGGGAUGGGCUCGCGGCCUAUCAGCUUGUUGGUGGGGUGAUGGCCUGUCAAGGCUUUGACGGGUAGCCGGCCUGAGAGGGUGGGCGGUCACACUGGGACUGAGAUACGGCCCAGACUCCUGCGGGAGGCAGCAGUGGGGGGUAUUGCACAAUGGGCGGAAGCCUGAUGCAGCGACGUCGCGUGAGGGAUGGAGGCCUUCGGGUUGUGAACCUCUUUCGCCGGUGAAGAAGGUCCUGCUCUUUGUGGUGGGGUUGACGGUAGCCGGGUUAUGAAGCGCCGGCUAACUACGUG
rnacentral:rRNA from 1 species